UGACCCUAGGUCAAGCGGGGCUACCUACUGAGUUUAAGCAUAUCAAUAAGUAGAGGAUAAGAAACUUACGAGGAUUCCCUUAGUAACGGCGAGGGAACCGAGAAGAGGCCAACUUGAGAAUCGAGCGGCUUUGUCGUUCGAAUUGUAGUCUAUAGAAGAGUCCGCAGCGGUGGACCGGGCCCAAGUCCCCUGGAAGGGGGCAUCAAAGAGGGUGAGAUCCCCGUCGUGUCCGAACCCUAUCGUACCAUGAGGCACUGUCGACGAGUUGGGUUGUUUGGGAAUGCAGCCCCAAUUGGGCGAUAAAUUCCAUCCAAGGCUAAAUAUGGGCAAGAGACCGAUAACGAACAAGUACCACGAGGGAAAGAUGAAAAGGACUUUGAAAAGAGAGCCAAAAAGUGCUUGAAAUUAUCAGGAGGGAAGCAGAUGGGGGCUGGUGAUGCGUCUCAGUGGGAUGCGGAACGGCUAAUAGCCGGUCCGCCACUCGACUCGGGGUGUGGACCAAUGUGGAUUGCGGUGGCGUCCCAAGCCAAGGUUGUCAUGUUAUACCUGAGGAGAUAUCAUUGUCAGGAUUCUGGCUGGCAGCAUACCCCUCGAUGGCAUGUUUAUUGACAACUACAUGCUCCAGGAAUCGGUCUGUCGGGCUCCCCAUUCGACCCGUCUUGAAACAUGGACCAAGGAGUCUUACAUGUGUGCAAGUCAAUGGGCGAGAAAAACCUAUAAGGCGUAAGGAAGCUGACUGGUGGGAUCCCCUUCUGGGUUGCACCACCAAACAACCUUGAUCUUUUGUGAAGGGUUCAAGUGAGAGCAUACCUAUCGGGACCUGAAAGAUGGUGAACUAUGCCUAAGUAGGGCGAAGCCAGAGGAAACUCUGGUGGUGGCCCACAGUGAUACUGACAUGGAAAUCAUUCAUCUGACUUGGGUAUAGGGGCGAAAGACUAAUUGAACAGUCUAGUAGCUGGUUCCCUCUAAAGUUUCCCUCAGGAUAGCUGGAGCCCGCUGGCGAGUUCUAUCGGGUUAAGCCAAUGAUUAGAGGCAUCGGGUGUGCAAUGCCUUUGACCUAUUCUCAAACUUUAAAUAGGUAGGAUGGCAUGGCUGCUUUGUUGAGCCGCACAAUAGAAUCAAGAGCUCCAAGUGGGCCAUUUUUGGUAAGCAGAACUGGCGAUGCAAGAUGAACCAGAAGCUGGGUUACGGUGCCGGAUUGCACGCUAACCUAGAACCCACAAAGGGUGUUGGUCGAUUAAGACAGCAGGACGGUGGUCAUGGAAUUCAAAAUCUACUAAGGAGUGUGUAACAACUCACCUACCGAAUUAACUAGCCCCAAAAAGGGAUGGUGCUAAAGCGCACAACCUAUACCCGACUUCGGGGCAACUACCAGGCUCUGAUGAGUCAGAGGGCACUGCGGUCACAAUAAAACUUGGGGUGUGAGCCCAGGCAUAGCGGCUAGUGGUGCAAAUCUUGGGGGUAGUAGGAAAUAUUCAAAUGAGAACUUUGAAGGCCGAAGAGGGGAAAGGUUCCAUGUGGACGACACUUGCACAUGGGUUAGUCGAUCCUAAGGGAAGGGGGAAGCCCAUCAGAGAGCGUGUAUGCACGCGUGCUCCGAAAGGGAAUCGGGUUAAAAUUCCCAAACCGAGACAUGGUGAUUGACGAAAAUGUUAGGAAGUCUAGAGACAUCAGUGGGAGCCUCAGGAAGAGUUAUCCUUUCUUUUUAACAUCCUACCCACCCUGGAAUUGGCUCAAUCGGAAGAGCACCACACGUCGUGUGGUGUCCAGUGCACCCUUAGUGGCCCUAGAAAAUCCAGAGGACCGAGUGCCGACCACGCCCGACCGUACUUAUAAUCGCAUCAGGUUUCCAAGGUGAACAGCCUCUGGUCGAUGGAACAAUGUAGGCAAGGGAAGUCAAUAAAAUGGAUCUAUAACCAUGGGAAAAGGAUUGACUUUGAGGGCUGGGCAUAGGGGUCCCAGUCCCAAACCCAUCGACUAUCGGUGGACUACCCGAGCUGCUUUCACAGUAAAAGCAGGUCACCACGUGCCGAUCGGGGGAUAGACUGGGAACUGCCCCCUCGGGGGCCUUCCCUAGGCGUCAAAUAGUCAACUCAAAAUUGGUACGAACAAGGGGAAUCCGACUGUUUAAUUAAAACAAAGCAUUGCGAUGGUCCCCGCGGAUGCUCACGAAUGUGAUUUCUUCCCAGUGCUCUGAAUGUCAAAGAGAAGAAAUUCAACCAAGCGCGGAUAAAUGGCGGGAGUAAUUAUGACUCUCUUAAGGUAGCCAAAUGCCUCAUCAUCGAAUUAGUGACGCGCAUGAAUAGAUUAACGAGAUUCCUACUGUCCCUAUCUACUAUCCAGUGAAACCACAGCCAAGGGAACAGGCUUGGCAGAAUCAGUGGGGAAAGAAGACCCUAUUGAGCUUGACUCUAAUCCGACUUUGUGAAAUGACUUGAGAGGUGUAGGAUAAGUGGGAAUUGGAAAUGGCGCAAGUGAAAUACCACUACUUUUAACAUUAUUUUACUUACUCUGUGAGUCGGAGGCGGGGCUCUGCCCCUCCUUUUGGACCCAAGGCCCACCUCGGUAGGGCAAUCUGGGCAGACGACAUUGUCAGAUGGGGAGUUUGGCUGGGGCAGCACAUCUGUUAAAAGAUAAUGUAGGUAUCCUAAGAUGAGCUCAACGAGAACAGAAAUCUCAUGUGGAACAAAAGGGUAAAAGCUCAUUUGAUUCUGAUUUCCAGUGCAAAUACGAACCAUGAAAGCGUGGCCUAUCGAUCCUUUAGACCUUUAGAAUUUAAAGCUAGAGGCAUCAGAAAAGUUACCACAGGGAUAACUAGCUUGUGGUAGCCAAGCGUUCAUAGCGACGUUGCUUUUUGAUCCUUCGAUGUCAGCUCUUCCUAUCGUUACGAAGCAGAAUUUACGAAGUGUUGGAUUGUUCACCCAUCAAUAGGUAACGUGAGCUGGGUUUAGACCAUUGUGAGAUAGGUUAGUUUUACCUUACUAAUGAUAGUGUCACGAUAGUAAAUCAACCUAGUAUGAGAGGAACCGUUGAUUCACACAAUUGGUCAUCGUGCUUAGUUGAAAAGCUAGUGGCGCAAAGCUGCCGUGUGCUGGAUUAUGACUGAAUGCCUCUAAGUCAGAAUCUAGGCUAAAGUAGCAAUGCCUGUGCUUGUCGCCCAUUUACCGACCCGUAGUAUGGGCCCUCUGGCCCGCAGAGGCAUGUGUUGUUGGCCAAGCCCCCGCUGUGGACAUGUUGUGUGGGGUGCUUUGAAGCGUAAUUCCUGUCUAGUGAUGGGUAGAAUCCUUUGCAAAUGACUAAAAUACGCAACAAGGUAUUACAAGUGGCAAAGUGGCCUUGCUGCCAUGAUCCACUGAGAUUCAGUCCCGUAUCGCAUCGAUUCGU